rnacentral:rRNA from 1 species
GAGUUUGAUCAUGGCUCAGAUUGAACGCUGGCGGCAUGCCUUACACAUGCAAGUCGAACGGCAGCAUGAUCUAGCUUGCUAGAUUGAUGGCGAGUGGCGAACGGGUGAGUAAUACAUCGGAACGUGCCCUGUAGUGGGGGAUAACUAGUCGAAAGAUUAGCUAAUACCGCAUACGACCUGAGGGUGAAAGUGGGGGACCGCAAGGCCUCAUGCUAUAGGAGCGGCCGAUGUCUGAUUAGCUAGUUGGUGGGGUAAAGGCCCACCAAGGCGACGAUCAGUAGCUGGUCUGAGAGGGCGAUCAGCCACACUGGGACUGAGACACGGCCCAGACUCCUACGGGAGCAGCAGUGGGAUUUUGGACAUGCGAAGCCUGAUCCAGCAAUGCCGCGUGUGUGAGAA